rnacentral:rRNA from 1 species
AGGCCUUUUGGUUGUAAAGCACUUUAAGCGAGGAGGAGGCUACCUAGAUUAAUACUUUAGGAUAGUGGACGUUACUCGCAGAAUAAGCACCGGCUAACUCUGUGCCAGCAGCCGCGGUAAUACAGAGGGUGCGAGCGUUAAUCGGAUUUACUGGGCGUAAAGCGUGCGUAGGCGGCCAAUUAAGUCAAAUGUGAAAUCCCCGAGCUUAACUUGGGAAUUGCAUUCGAUACUGGUUGGCUAGAGUAUGGGAGAGGAUGGUAGAAUUCCAGGUGUAGCGGUGAAAUGCGUAGAGAUCUGGAGGAAUACCGAUGGCGAAGGCAGCCAUCUGGCCUAAUACUGACGCUGAGGUACGAAAGCAUGGGGAGCAAACAGGAUUAGAUACCCUGGUAGUCCAUGCCGUAAACGAUGUCUACUAGCCGUUGGGGCCCUUGAGGCUUUAGUGGCGCAGCUAACGCGAUAAGUAGACCGCCUGGGGAGUACGGUCG